rnacentral:tRNA from 1 species
GUGCUCGGCUGGACCCAGGACUCUUGUAUGCUACACGAGCGCUUUACCAAUUAAGCUACCGAGCC